AGAGGCCCGCCCCUCACGCGGAACCAAUCGGAACUCGCGGCGGAGCUGCGGGGGGCUUCCAGGAAUGCGCAUGCGCGGACGGCUGGCUACAGGCUGCAGGGUGGGAUUUAACUGGCCGCUGAGCUGGUCUUUUUGUGUCCGCAGGCUUUGGCCCGGCUGCCGCCUCCCAUAAGCUACCAGGAGGAGCUUUACACUUCCCGGCCUGCGGAGCCGGGCGCAGCAAGGGCCAGACGCGGCGCGAGCAGGCUCUGCGCGCCAACCGGCUUUCUCCUGGCAGGCACGAUCGCACGGUCGCGGAGAAGCUCCUUAAUGGCCAGCGGCAGCUGCAGCCCCUGCCUCGCACUGGCCUCACCUGAUCCUGGGCUCUUGCUCUUGCAGAAUCCACUGGUCUUUCUUGAAGAAAUGUGUAGCCAGAACUUUGGGCUCCAUUUUUAUCUAGGGAUGGAACAGAAGAGAAGAGUGUGGUCUCCUAGAAAUCUAGCACUGGAGAAAUUGGAAUUAUGCUACAGUAAGCACUGCUUCUCUGCUAAUAGACCUGCUGACUUCAAGACCUUUACAGCAAGCCUGCCUGGGACACGGCGAGCCAUGGGCGGGACAGUGUCUUUCAAAGCUGCUCUCAUGGAGCGUUUAGCCCUCAUCCAGCCCUCCAGGGAGCAGGUGCAGAGACUCAUAGCAGAACACCUUCCACACCUGACCCCCGGCAUAACAAGGAAAAUUCUUCCAAGGAUGGUCUCCCACUCAGAGCUGAGGAAGCUGUUCUACUCAGCAGAUGCUGUGUGUUUUGAUGUUGACAGCACGGUCGUCAGAGAAGGAAUUGAUGAGCUAGCCAAAGUGUGUGACGUUGAGGACGCGGUGUCAGAAAUAUAAGCAUGGAUUCCUGGUUCAUUCUUGUUCUGCUUGGCAGUUGUCUGAUACGUGUCAGAGCCAACAAUGCUACCACAGGUAAUUCUGACUCGAAGGAGAGAAGAGGUGAACUGCUCACCUUCUAUCUAUUGUUCCUUUUACACAGUGUACAGUAUUCAUCUAUUUCCUCUGCUCACAGUCUGUGGUAACCAUGUGCAUCUGUAGCUGUGUUGUUUUUUUCCUUCCCUUAAGUCGUUUCCAUGCUAACCUCAUAGAGAAGAGCAUUAGAAACAAGUACUUUAUUCAGUAUGUUUUUUAAUAUAGCCUUUGAAUUCUAACAGCUAUGAUGUAUUUUAACAAGUAAUAAAAUAUAUCAUACUUUGUCAUGUGAGGUCAUACUUGUUAACAUUGCCUUUUGGUGAUAUUAGGUCAUAAUUUCUGUACCAUGGAUUACUUCUGACUUCUAGGCCACAGUUCCCUUUAAACAUUCUUUGUGUUAUUUUUCCCUUAGUCUAUAAAAUGUCAACCCUUUGUGGCUUUAUAUGGAUUUUAUGGAUUUUCAGCCGUUUAAUGUAAAGUCUCUAUGGCCUGAGAUGUUGUGUCUGUGGUUUAAGCUGGACCGCUGAGUCCCUGGUCACCAGAGAGCAGGAGGACACGGGUACUCAUCUGCAGAAGUGUAGCACAUUUUGCCUAGAACAACAGUAAGGCUGCUAUCAAAGAGCAUGAGUGAAAGAGAAAGAGAUCAUCUAACAUUCUAAGAAGUGAUUAUUUGAGUUUUAAAAAUGUUACUCUUUGAAGCAAAGUUUGUAUAAUUUUCUAUUUUAUCAAAUCAGACUUGAGUUUUUUUCUGAUUCUAUUAUUUAACCAUACACAAUUGUCCCUGUGUAAUUAAGCAGUGGAACACUUGGAGGCAUAUGAAGUCCCACUAAGUAGGGAGCAUUUGAGUCAGAAAAGUGGGUACUCCGAUCCUUUAUGUGAUGUCCAUCUGUUAUUGUAUUUUAAGGAAUAGUGAGGUGUUACCAUACUGUGUAUAGAUUUCCCUCACUCUUCCAGCUCUCACUUUUCUAAACUUGGGAACUAAACGUUGGAUUAAUGCGAUGUCUUUGCUAUUCAGAUUCACUUGCCAGAUUCUCACUAUCAAAUGUGAACUUAAAUAAGUUUUACUGUAUUUACUUGCUCCCUAAAACUGCUCUUUUAACCAGUCUUCAAUAAAGUCAAAAGUCAAAGUGGUAGGCUU